UAGUCCACGCCGUAAACGAUGAGCACUAGAUAUGGGGCGAUUAAUCCGUUCCGUGUCGUAGCUAACGCAUUAAGUGCUCCGCCUGGGGAGUACGGUCGCAAGACUAAAACUCAAAGGAAUUGACGGGGGCCCGCACAAGCGGUGGAUUAUGUGGUUUAAUUCGAAGCAACGCGCAGAACCUUACCUGGGCUUAAAAUCCUGAGAAUCCUCCCGAAAAGGAGGAGUGCCCUUCGGGGAAUUCAGUGAUAGGCGCUGCAUGGCUGUCGUCAGCCCGUGUCGUGAGAUGUUGGGUUAAGUCUCGCAACGAGCGCAACCCCUAUUUUUGGUUGCCAGCAUUAAGUUGGGCACUCUAGAGAGACUGCCUGGGUUAACCAGGAGGAAGGUGGGGAUGACGUCAAGUCCUCAUGGCCCUUAUGUCCGGGGCUACACACGUAGUACAAUGGUCGGUACAGAGGGACGCCAACCCGCGAGGGGGAGCAAAUCUCAAAAAGCCGAUCUCAGUCCGGAUUGGAGUCUGCAACUCGACUCC
rnacentral:rRNA from 1 species